rnacentral:lncRNA from 1 species
CUCUACCAUGGCUCCUGGGCAGGGGACAACGACACUGGGUGUCCCCACAGCAGGGUGACCCUAUGUGGGGUUGCUGGCUCUACUGUUCACUUUCUCUUCCAGAUGGUGCAGCGUUCAAUAUUGAAUUGUGACCACUCUUUAGCCGUGAGAUAACCUUGCUCCAGUAGUGCUGAGUGCCCACAAGGAAUAUCUCCAGUGUAGUUUGAUGGAAGUGAAAGAAAAAAGAAAUCCAGCCUGGUACUUGUUGUGAGUUGCACUGUCUGCAUGUAUCAACGUUCAACUCAGAAAGAGGAGGAGUCCUAGUGCUGAGCUGCAGUUUUCUAGGCAGUGUAAUGUUUUCUCGGAGCUUCUGAGACCAACGCAUCAUUGUUUGGAUUCACGAUGAUGGAUAGUGUCCCUGUCUCUCCAAGUGGAAAGCUUCUGCAUAACAAAUGACCCUCGGUGCUGCUCUUGGAGACUUAGUCACAGAAUGCAGAGCCAUGGGUACCUGUUCACGUGGCAUCUCCAUGUUUGCAUCUGACAUGGAUAUUCAAGACCUGCCUGGACUCUAUCCUCCUCAACCUACUGUGGAGAAGAGCUGCCAUGCUGUGAUGAUCAUUGGCCAGUUGCACUCCCCUGGACACAUCUCACCAGGAUGUACGCAUGCUUGCUAAGCUGCAGAAGUGGGACUCACAGCCGUCUCCAGAGGACUGUGAAAGAUGGGGGUCAGCUCUCCUCCAGCCGGGAUGAGGACCCUGCCCCUAUUUCUGCCUGGGGAAGGGCAAGAUGCACUGAGUUAGGACCCCGUCAUCCUCUCACUGGACCUGCGUUGAACAGAGCUGGGCCCAUCUCGCAUACUUUCCGCUAGCAGCUCGAAGGAUUUAGGGCUGGAGGUGGACUAAUAGCAACAUUUUAAUGAGAAGAAAGAUGCAAAAGGACAUCUUCAUUUCACACGAAGGACUAGGCAUCUGCCUGGAAGUUUAGGGUCGCAGAGAGAGGCUGAAGCAGAGAAGGGGAAAGAAACGCACCUGUCUGAAUUGCCAGCCUACAGACCCAGGCUCCCUCUGCAAUCACUGCCACCAAUAUCCUGGAAAUAUUCAAUUUAUUUAAGACAAUUCUGAAGCUCCCUUAUAGAGAAGCCAACAAAGCUGCUAUUGCAAAUAAGACAAAUACCUUACCCUGAAUAUGUCCAGUUCUUUUCUACCCCCGUUGCUUCCUGUUGGAUGACACCUACAGUCAUUUGCAAACAUGAGUAACAGACAUCCUGCAUAUGUUUACUCUUCCUUGCAAGCAUUUGCAGUUAGAGGUUGAGUUACUUCAGCUCAGACAGCGUUAUUGUUCUGUGUGCAUGGAAGUGCUGCAGUGUGAACUGGAAUCUGG